AACGAACGCUGGCGGCAUGCCUAACACAUGCAAGUCGAACGAGACCUUCGGGUCUAGUGGCGCACGGGUGCGUAACGCGUGGGAACCUGCCCUUAGGUUCGGAAUAACUCCCCGAAAGGGGUGCUAAUACCGGAUAAUGUCUUCGGAUCAAAGAUUUAUCGCCUUUGGAUGGGCCCGCGUUGGAUUAGCUAGUUGGUAGGGUAAAAGCCUACCAAGGCGACGAUCCAUAGCUGGUCUGAGAGGAUGAUCAGCCACACUGGGACUGAGACACGGCCCAGACUCCUACGGGAAGCGGCAGUGGGGAAUAUUGGACAAUGGGCGAAAGCCUGAUCCAGCAAUGCCGCGUGAGUGAUGAAGUCCUUAGGGUUGUAAAGCUCUUUUACCCGGGAUGAUAAUGACAGUACCGGGAGAAUAAGCGCCGGCUAACUCCGUG
rnacentral:rRNA from 1 species